rnacentral:lncRNA from 1 species
GUGUCAUCACUCAUCAGCAUGAACUGACACUAGGGUCAGUGUGCAUAUGAGUUUGAGGUCAGAUUAUGGCCAUUUUUGGAGAAUCAUCUUGGUGGGAUGAUUUGAUCAUCCAAUCUUCCAUUCUCGACAUCCAAGGAGGUCCUUUGGUGUUGCUGUAGUUUCUAUAUGUGUUGUUGGUGGUGGGUCUGAGGCAAGUGCUCGACCUAUACUCGAGGUA